rnacentral:rRNA from 1 species
UACGGGAAACCGGAGCUAAUACCGGAUAAUAUUUUAACCGCAUGGUUCAAAAGUGAAAGACGGUCUUGCUGUCACUUAUAGAUGGAUCCGCGCUGCAUUAGCUAGUUGGUAAGGUAACGGCUUACCAAGGCAACGAUGCAUAGCCGACCUGAGAGGGUGAUCGGCCACACUGGAACUGAGACACGGUCCAG